rnacentral:rRNA from 1 species
UAAUCAGGUUUUUACGGUAGGUGCAAGUCGUCCGCUUUUUCUUUCACCGGAGCUUGUCCGCCACAAACUAUCGAGGGUGACGGGUGAGUAACACGUGGGUAACCUGCCCAUCAGAAGGGGAUAACACUUGGAAACAGGUGCUAAUACCGUAUAACACUAUUUUCCGCAUGAAGAAAGUUGAAAGGCGCUUUUGCGUCACUGAUGGAUGGACCCGCGGUGCAUUAGCUAGUUGGUGAGGUAACGGCUCACCAAGGCCACGAUGCAUAGCCGACCUGAGAGGGUGAUCGGCCACACUGGGACUGAGACACGGCCCAGACUCCUACGGGAGGCAGCAGUAGGGAAUCUUCGGCAAUGGACGAAAGUCUGACCGAGCAACGCCGCGUGAGUGAAGAAGGUUUUUCGGAUCGUAAAACUCUGUUGUUAGAGAAGAACAAGGAUGAGAGUAGAACGUUCAUCCCUUGACGGUAUCUAACCAGAAAGCCACGGCUAACUACGUGCCAGCAGCCGCGGUAAUACGUAGGUGGCAAGCGUUGUCCGGAUUUAUUGGGCGUAAAGCGAGCGCAGGCGGUUUCUUAAGUCUGAUGUGAAAGCCCCCGCUCAACCGGGAGGUCAUUGGAAACUGGGAGACUUGAGUGCAGAAGAGGAGAGUGGAAUCCAUGUGUAGCGGUGAAUGCGUAGAUAUAUGG